AUGGAACGCUGGCGGCAGGCUUAACACAUGCAAGUCGAGCGGAGAGAGGUAGCUUGCUACUGAUCUUAGCGGCGGACGGGUGAGUAAUACUUAGGAAUCUGGCUAUUAGUGGGGGACAACAUUUCGAAAGGGAUGCUAAUACCGCAUACGUCCUACGGGAGAAAGCAGGGGAUCUUCGGACCUUGCGCUAAUAGAUGAGCCUAAGUCGGAUUAGCUAGUUGGUGGGGUAAAGGCCUACCAAGGCGACGAUCUGUAGCGGGUCUGAGAGGAUGAUCCGCCACACUGGGACUGAGACACGGCCCAGACUCCUACGGGAGGCAGCAGUGGGGAAUAUUGGACAAUGGGGGGAACCCUGAUCCAGCCAUGCCGCGUGUGUGAA
rnacentral:rRNA from 1 species